rnacentral:misc_RNA from 1 species
GAAGUAAAAGUCGUAACAAGGUUUCCGUAGGUGAACCUGCGGAAGGAUCAUUAUCAACAUGGCGGGCUUCGGCCUUAGCUAUACCCUUGUCUUUUGCGCACCGUAUUGUUUCCUCGGCGGGCUUGCCUGCCGGUUGGACAUUAUAAACCCUUUUUGUAGUUGCAAUCAGCGUCAGAAAUAAUCAUAAUUAUUACAACUUUCAACAACGGAUCUCUUGGUUCUGGCAUCGAUGAAGAACGCAGCGAAAUGCGAAAAGUAGUGUGAAUUGCAGAAUUCAGUGAAUCAUCGAAUCUUUGAACGCACAUUGCGCCCCUUGGUAUUCCAUGGGGCAUGCCUGUUCGAGCGUCAUUUUGUACCCUCAAGCACUGCUUGGUGUUGGGCGUUUGUCCUGCAAAGGACUCGCCUGAAAGCGAUUGGCGGCCAACGUAGUCGUGGCAGAGCGCAGCACAAUUUGCGUCUCUCCCCUCUGCGUCGGCGUCCAUAAAGCCUACAAUUCAAACGUUUGACCUCGGAUCAGGUAGGGAUACCCGCUGAACUUAAGCAUAUCAAUAA